GAGCACGUUGACUUGGGCUCUUUGACUUUUAAUCAGAGGGUCCUGGGUUCGAGUCCCAGCGCGCUCACCA
rnacentral:tRNA from 1 species